CCGAGCCUGCAGCUGCCGUGCCGCGGCCCUGAGCCCACAGUGACUGGGCUGGGGCUCUCGUUCCCCCGCUGGCGUCACAAUGGGUCCUUUAGGAGCGGGGGCCCCACCUGGGUGUUGUACCUUACGUUCACGGCAGCCACGUGUAUGUACUUCCCAGUGGCGUUUAUCUUGCAGAAAGGGACCUUUACUCAUGGGGGGGAUAAAUGGGAAACUAAAACUUUCUUCAAAGUUCUUCCAGAGUAAAAUAUGAAAAGGCGUUCAUAGUAGAACAGAGAAACAGGACAGAAUCAAUGAAAAAAACACGAAGACUGACAAACAACCAAUGCGCAGAAGAAGACAAACUACAAACAAAUACCGAGAGCGUGCGUUGUGGAGUCCUUGAACCAUUUCAGAGUUGAGAUUUCCAGCAUCUGCACUGCUUGAAGUCUCCAUGGUUCCAUGUUUAGUAUCCGCACCUACACCACCAUAAGGCCUGUCGUACAACAAUCUCAGUUGGCAGUUCUACAACUCUUGGUCUGCAGUCUGUCACAGGCAUUCCCUUUCCUUUCACGGUUGACGUUUAACUCUUCUAAGUUCUGACGAUCAGAUUUGGCUGAAUAUUGACCUCUCAUUGAUUCAUUGACAUGGCUCCUUCAGAGCACCCUGGUGUUGUCACUAUAUUACUGCCUUUGAAACAGUAGUACGGGAGAGUGAAGACUUUAUCGAAGUACAGGACCCGAAGAUUUGAGAGGAGUCAGCAUCGUUCGGCAGUUUAACAAAGGAUCGACCUUAUUGAGUCUUCGGUGGAGGAGGAGUGACCUGCAUCGAAGAUAACUCUUGCCAAAAGAGCAAGGAGUUCAUGCAGGAUUUGCUCUCUAGAAGAAUUUAAGGUCAGUUGUAUUAAACUGUUUAUUUUCGGCAUCGUGAAUCCUGUGGACAGAUCCAGCAGGAAAGUCGCGUCUAUGAAGAAAUCCUUCUCCAGAGAAGUCUCUCCCAAUUGAAUGUAUAAAUCUGGUGGACUUUCGAAUUUACCAUUUUAAGAACUAUAUCUGACUUAACUGCUUUAAGAACUGUUUUCGCAUUUAACGCUUUCAGAACCAGUGCCGAGUGA